GAAAUGCGAAACGUAAUGUGAUGUGCAUGAACCUGAGAGUCAUCAAGUCUUUGAACGCACCUUGCACCGGGCCAGGAGUGGCCGGGUAUGUCUGUUUGAGUGUCAGUAGUGGUUGUGGGGCUGAUUUGGUGGGGGUGUGCUAUGAGGCACAUCACCAUCCUGCCUCGCGAGGUGCCCGUGUCCUGCAAGGACUCGGGUUGAAUGCGUCUGGAUGGCCCAGGGCGGUGCGGUGCCGGAAACAGUUGUCGGAUUGAGACUGUGCCGGAGCAGGCAGGCCAUGGACACUGUCCAGAGUAGAACUGAUUGAUUGAUGCUGUCCACAAGACACAUCAAAUCAAAUCAAAUCAACAUCUCAUCAACGACCUCAAAUCAGACAGGAUCACCCGCUGAACUUAA
rnacentral:misc_RNA from 1 species